GUGAAACAGUGAACUACCAAAUGUGAUGUGUCUUUUCAAGUUUAACUUUCGCCAUUUCUGGUGCAAUGGAAGAAUAAGAAGAACACUUACCUACACAGAAAAAAAGUAGCACUGCGUUGGUACCGAGGAAAGCAGAAUGGAUCAAUUGCAAUGGUGGAUGGCUUGUAACCAUGUGUCGCACCGAAAACUAAGUGAUAGGGUUUGACGGACAUUUUAUCCGACAGUAACACUCUGUCAAUGCAAUGGAAAACGCUUUCAACGUGAUUUUUGUAUUGAAUUCCUAAUCAAUGGAGUGAUAUGAUAAAUUAUCAGCCGCUUACGAAAUCCGGCUGCCAUUUUGGGUAAAAUUUCUUUAACAUGCGCAGUUUUUCUAUAUGGAACCCAAAAAUCUCCUGGUAUCACAUUCAGAUGUCGCCAUUUUGUAAAGAAGGAAACUGGUAGAAAGGAGAUUGAAAUCAUCACGAAAAGAAAAAGAUGGACGAUUUAAUUGUGUGAAAUUCAACCAGCGUUACGGAUCCAAUCACCAUAAACUGAGUAUUUCUACAGGCGAGGAGGAAAAAAUCCGCAGAUGUCGCUAUUUGGUAGAGAGUACAUCGACCAAUUGGGUUAGACGGCAAGGUGAAAUCAUCGCAAAAAGAAAAAGAUAGACGAUUUAAUUGCGUGAAAUUCAACCAGCGUUACGGAAUCAAUCACCAGUGACGUUUCAUGAACUGAGUAUUCCUAUCGGUGAGGAGAAAAAGUCCCUUAACUAUUAAGAUGGAUGAACGGAUAAGUAUGAAUUUCACAAUUUAGAAACCAAAAACUCACUCGGCAUCGAACGUUCAACGGUAGAAUUAGUAAAUUAAGCUUCUGUUACCUAUUUUUAUUUUAAGUUUAACAUAGGUGAGAUUCAGAAGUUUCGGUUGUUGAACAUAACGAAUUUCGUACAGCGAUGAGUGGUAGAGCAAACAAUUGAAAAUAUUGGAACGUUACAAAAACUCAAACUUUUCGAAUAUGAUCGUCGAUAGCAAGUUAUUUGGCAAAGUUGAUGCAAUACACGUGAACGUAGUUUUGUCCAAAUCAAGGUACCCGAAAACGACGGCAUAAAAACGGAUGUUUUUUAGAAGGUUUGUUUCAAUAGGCAUUACUCUACUGUCUGAUAGUUGGUUUGACAGUGUAAAGUGACGCCACUAUUCAACAACGCUUCCCAAUCUUGGAAAUAUAUUCAAAAUCAGGGUUCAAUUAAAACGGUUUGUAGAGCACUGAAUUUUAUUUCAUUUAUUCUUUUGGAUGCCAAGCCAUCGAGAAGAAUGACAAGAAAAUAUUGCGGUCGAUCGAAUAUUUAUCUAUUCGUCGUCGUGCGCGAGAAGUUGGACGUUGUCCAUCGACUUUAUUGCCGCUAAGAUUUAGGUUUGUUGGGAAUUCAAUGCUAUUUUCGAUACUUAAAAUACUAAGAUACUUAAAAAGUCGUCAUCAUAUGACCAAAGGUCGCAUGAGUGCAUGCAGAUAACAAAUACCAUCACUGUAAGUUCUUUUUAAGUUCUAUUUCUAUUAUUUUUGCUGAACUUCCGCCACUGGAAUUUCUCUAUAUAUUUCUAUUUACAAUUCGUAUACCGAACAGCAAUGAAUUUGCCAAUCUCUUAAAAAAAUAGUGUAUUGCGGCAAUGCGUUGCCCGAGCGGCGUUUUUCGAAGCAAUUUAUAACACACAAAUUCCCUUUUUUUCCCUUUAUUUCCUUCUAAUAAAUUUUUUUUUCACUUUACUGCUUUAACUUGCCUACAGCACAUAAUUUUGUGCCUGACCUAACCUCUGCGGUAAUCACUUCUAACUAUUCUUUUCUUAACUACUGUUUUGGCCUGAGUAAUGGUAUCCAAGUUUGAUUACGGUGUUACCCGGUCGCACAAGGAGCAUUACUCUACAGUAAGGUUAAAGAAAAAAGCCUUGUCUAAACCAAAAACCGACCCUUUUAUACUCCAACCUAUAUAACUAACAAAAACCUAUACUUAUAUAUAUCUGGUAGACUAACUACCACCUAUAACUACCUACGUGAAUUCACUGCGAUCGCGUCGCUUAUGUACAUAAUCAAUUAAUUCGGUCGGUUUCUUCUGGCUGUUGCAAUAUGUUGAAAUAGCCAGCCGUGGGCAUUGCAAUAACUCUACUGGUCUACUGUCUGUACUAGCUAAGAUAAAGAUUUUUAUGGAAAAAUUAGGGCUGCUGCAGUAUACCCUGUAUUUGGAGGGGAGUUUCUUUUUGGUUGGAAAUAUAAGACUGAUUUUGCCGUUUACACAAACUUUUUAUUCAUUGGCACUCUUUCAAUCUUCGACUUGUUACUCUCUUUUCGUAAUUGUAGGAUUUUUCUUGUAUGGAGGAUGCCUUCGCUAUACUGGCUUCUACAGUGGGCUUAACUGCCCGGUUGUGGAUCCCCCCUUCUCUUUCAAUCACUCUCUGAAAACUGACUGACGGACUACUAUCCGAACAUUAUCUGACUGACUCCUAACAAUUAAACAUUUUUCGGGUUAAAACCCGAAGGUUUCAGUACAAGCUGAACUUGCGAUUUUAAGUCGAAGGUUCAUCCGACCUUCUACCGAAGAGCAGAGACCUCUGUCAAUAUGCCAAUGGCAGUUACUAGGGUCCGUGAAAAAAUAACUGCGCUGACUAAUGCCCGUAAAUGUCCAUGUUUUUAUAACAAAGUUUCUACACCAAGGUUGCGGUAACGCUGAUAUGAGGGUUUGCUUAACGAGUUUUUUUUCACAACUUCCUACUUUUUCUACAAUACUAGCAAAUUCAAAUGAAAAUUUGCUGAAGGCGCUGCACUAGGUCGCUUUUAAAAUAUUUGCGUAACCGCGAAUAGCAAAUGAUACUUUGUUUUAUUGCAAAGUUUCAAAGAAUAAUCACACUUCAUUUGUUCACCUUAAUUUUGAAUUUAAUUAUCUAAAUUUUGGAAUUGAAGUAACUAGCUUGUGUUACCUGGAUAUUCGCAAGACCUGACUACGUAGCCCUAAGCUCUGUCGUAACAGCGGUUAUCCUGUGAGUGUGAUUGAAAUUAGUUUUGAUUUUGGUUUGAACGAUAAAGAAUUGAAGUGACUACGAUUUUGGAUAUGGUUUAAAAAUCCGUAAUUUGCUGCAACCACUGAAAUUUCGAAGAAAUUCUAUAGUUUAUCCUAGUUUACAUCAGAUUGUGUCGAGCGUGAUAUUAUCACUACGGAAUAUUAUUUUUGUUCUUUGCUGUAUCAAGCAUAUGUCACCAACUAACUCGGUCCAUGGAUGCUUGUUACCACUGCGCCUUUUACUUCACUAAAGAACAUAAACUCUGUGUGUGGGGCUCUUUCUUUUUAAAAAAUAAAGUUUAACCUUUGAGCUGCUACUACAAUUUAUUAUUAACAAUUUUUCCUUAUAAACUAUAAGUUAGAAAAGACUUACGUAUAAUAUUAGUUUUUGUUUUAUUCCUCGCUUGCGCAUAGCCUGAAUUUCGUGUUUCUUACCAUCCUUGACUUGUGCGCAUGCGUGGUUAUACUAUAAGGAAGAGAGAGAACACAGGCGUUACAAACGAUCCCUUAUUUCCUUCUUUUCCUUACGUUGCCCAGCUUGCGAUCCCAACUAUGACAAGUUAAAUCCAGCUGUUUCUCCUCCCUUCAAGGAGGUCAUUCACUUGUCUCGAGGCAUUUGUUUUAUGCUAUUCCUUCCUUCUUCGAGGAGGUCAUAGCCCUGCCCGAGAUAAGUGCUUACAUUAUUUUAUUUUAGCUCUUUAAACGACGACAUCGGUCGUUGCUCCUAUUUUCUAACGGAUUUUAUGAUUCGAUGCCGUAACCCGGGAGCUCGACGAUGCGGGAGAUUUCAUUUCUCGCUAGCUUAAAUCUAGAAUCCUAGUAUGGGACUUAAAUCUAGGCACGCUGGUGAAACUGUCAGCCACACUGUGCCUGACCUAAAAUCUAUCCGAUAACAUGUUAAUCACUCUUAAAACUUUGCUUUGAGUGUUAAUCUCUACUUUAUCACGAAUGCUGCUGUCCAAGUUUGAUUACGGUGUUACCCGGUCGCCGAAAGUAGGUGUCGGAUCCGAUAAUUCGGUAUCCUCUGCUGAACGCGCGCAUCCCAGGGACCUUCGUGGCCUCAGAGAUAAACGUUUAAUAGGUAUCAGUGAUUUUAUGUCAAUAUACUCCGCAGCCGAGAUAUCAUGCUGUUCACUCUUAACGAAAAUUAAUCUUUCCCAUAGGAGGAUUGUACAGUAGUACGUCCACAUUGCUAGGGAUACGGAUCGGGACCAGUAACGGUCAUUAGCCAUUAGAUCACGAUAUGUGGCUUCGACUAUGUCAUAAUAGUUGAAAUUCCGGGAUUCUCUUUCGAAAUCCCAGUGCUGCAAGAUCGAGAACAGAAAAGGCCUCAAUGUCGCAGGGGUCGUUCUUUGGGGUGGUGAAAGUUGUAGAUAGAUGUUUGGGAGCUAGAUCGGGCUCGUCAGGUAAAUCGACUUUUCUGGCCAUACCUCCUAUUUUCUGCCGAGGUGGCUCAUCUGCAGUGAUUUCUCCUUUCCGAGGUUUAAACUUGCUCUUCGGCGGUUUGUAGCGUUUGUUGGGAUUGGAAGGUGCCUGUGCACCAGGUGUUUUAUUAUCAGAUUCCAUAAUUAAUAAAACUUGUGUCAGCUUCCAGCUUAUCUCCCUAUUUGAAGUUUAAAUUGCAUGAGGUGCAAUUGCCUUGAACAGAUCCAUAUCUGCCUCCCUGUUUUGUGCAAUGAAUUGUUUGAUAGUUCUCUGAACUAUCAUCUUCCUCUCCUCCGUCUUUGUCAUAGUCUGCGAAGCAGUUAUCACACACAGUGCAGCAAUAUCAGCCCUGGAGCCAACUAGAAAUUGGCCACCAUUCUGUGCGCUCUUGUUGAUCGCAUCCAGUAAUUUGCAUUUGGUGCCAAAGACUUUUUUGAUGUACUCAUUUGACAUCAUUUCAUCAUCCUUACUACGUGCAAAUAUUGCACCAGAUAGUGGUGUUAAAAUGUCACUACCUUUGGCACAUGCAAUAGUUGUAAAUUUAUUCAACAAAAAUAAUGAAAUGAUUGUAGCCUGCUUAAUGGUUAGGCACAACACUCCAUUUCUUGAUGUUUCUGGAGCCUUUGAGGGUGGAGCAUGUGAUUUUUGAGUUGCCACUACUAUCACUCCUAUCGUCUCAAUUGCCCCCUUCUCUGCUGGGUCUGCUGGUGCCACAGCAACAUCAUCGUCAACAUCGUAUUUAAGUCCAUGUGAAUUUUUGAUGAGAGCAUUCUUUUUUAUGUCUUCAUCCUUUGUUGCAGGGGUUGUUGGACGAGCAAUGCCAACAAAGUCAAAGGCUUGCAAUGCAGCCACCACAUCAUCAGUAAUGCUUUCAGACACUCUUAUGCGCCAGCUGCCAUCAGCAUCUCUACCCUUCUUGAUUUUCCUGGUUUCAGGGCCAAUGAAAUAGAUGAUGUGCUGCAUGACAUCAAGGCACUUGUAACCAUGCUCCCAGCUGAAAUCAAGAAGCAUGUCAGGCAUGACCCUAACAACCUGCCCAAUCAACUCUGCAACAUCCAGUUGAGCACCACCAAUAGCUGAGUUAACAUCAUUCAUUGUGACUCUCAGAGCCACAAUAUCUGACUUAACCGCAGCCUUUCAUAGCUCUUGGAUGUUCUUUGUCUGAGCAUCCAGCAACGACUCAUACUCCAGCCUGGGCCGUUAUUAGUUAUCUUAUAUGCUUGUGGAUAUAUUACCCCGCAUGCACAGUAUUCGUAACGGAUCUGGUGCUUGCAAUUUCCAGUAGCACGCAACAUAACUGCCUGUUGGUUGCUAUCUAGAGUAACGUAUUAAAACACACUGUUUCGAAUUGAUAACAAGAAUUCUGCUUGAUUUCGAUAUGUCUUAACUUAUAUAACUUCUCUCUCUUAGAUUUAUUCUGGUAGGGGAAGUUAGACUUUGCGUUUCAAUUUCGGUUUAUACCUUUAUGUUUAUAGGAAAUGUAUGUCGUUUGAAAAUAUCUGGUUCUUUCUAAAGUCUUUUGGGAAAUGUACGGUUCUUUCUUGAGUCUUUGAAAAGUGUCUUUGGGAAUGAAUUCUUGAAGCGUUUCUUGGGAAAGUAUGUAUAGAUGAAAGUUUAAGAUGUUCAUAUCACAUCAGUUUUGAACCAAGAAUAACCCCAACGUUUUUAGCUUGAUCAUCCACAACAACCUCUGGAUCAAUUCUUGGUUGAAAAUAAUUCCGCCGGAUGACACGAAUUGAAAACCGAUGUUUUUGACACGUGAUAUUAUCACUACGGAGUGUUAUACUUCCGCUGUCACCAUUUGCAAAAUGCCGCGCGGCGAAAAGUUACGGCCAGUAUAUAAUUCGUACACUCAAGCAAAUGCUCAAAGACACUAUUGAUCGAUCAGUUUCUAUUAGAUCGUCCCAGUGACUGUCGUAAUAAUUUUCUAUUGAGAAAAGGCACUGUGAUAAAUAACAACCAUCUAGAUUGAAAGUCAGUAACGAACUAGCUUGUUUGUUUGCAUAUAGUGGUAGCUACUUACAAAGCAAUAUCGAGCAUGCAAAACUAUUAAAGCUGGCAUCAUACGCCCAAAGCUCGAUGGAGUAUCCAUCGAAAAAGAUGGAAUUGUUGUGUUCAUUGUACUGAAAAGAAACCUAACUCCAUUUGUAGCCUUGGCUAGUUCAUAAUUCUUGUCUCUUCAGUAUGUCCGUCUUUCCGACCUCUUGACAUGCCACUUGUCACUUUACUCUUCCCAUUUGUGCGUGCGAGAGAAUCUGCCCGUUGCACAACGGAUCGAUCAUGUUUGCGGACGCCGACGAUUCUUGCGUUUAAGGACCUUUGGUAUCCCAUCCUGUAAAAUGUACAAAGUGGUGAAGAGAUGUAUUAACGGAAGCUGAAUACGGAGACGUCAAUUUCUUGCUUUUUCUUGAGUACUCUUCUGAUAUCAUCACUGACUUGCCUCACCUAUAUCCAUAGAAUCAACUCUGGAUAAGGGACUUGACAGAUUCGGACUCUUGAAAAAUCAGACUCGGGAAACCGCAUGAGAAACAUAUCAAGGGCAGCUACUAUUCUUCUGUAGUCUUUAAUACCUUGAUACCUUAGGGUAUCAAAUUUAUAAACGUCUGGCUCGCCUCCCAACAACACAGGCUCUGAUCCAACCUCUUGAAGUGUCAAGAGGGACCGAGGUGUUAUCACAUCUCCUUUAGCUCCGAUCUGUCGGUUAAAGGACAUAGUAGAAUAACUCCCACGCGUAAACUCGUGUUGAUUUUUACGUGACUAGAGUAUUUAAUUAUAAUUAUAUCCUAGCUUGAGUCAAAUGACCGUGAGUGACCGUGAUAUUAUCACUACGGAAUAUUAUUUUUAAUGUAUAUCAGAGAAGUUUCUCUGCAAGUCGUCAUCAUAUGACCCGGUCGCCCAAGGAGCAUUACUCUACAGUAAAAUUAAGGAAAAAGCCUUGUCCAAACCAACUCGCACCAGCUAACGUCUGCACUUGAGGUACCCGUUACAAAUGUUUGACGAAACAUGUUCACUAUUCGAAGGGCUCAAACUAAAUGAAAUUAAGUUAAUCAAAAGAAUGAAAGCAAAAGACCAGGAGUGGAUAUCGCAAAAGUAAGCAAAAACCGAAUAUACUAUUCGGUAUAUACUACUAGAUCAUAACGCCGACGAAGCAUGAGCGGGCCAUAAACGGCCGACGUGAAACUGUAAUUUAAGAAUCUUCCUGGAAAUCAUAGCAGGCAAACUCGGCGAUCGCUUGACGGACAUAUGCAAUAAAAUAAUCUAUAGCGGGCAAUUGUCUCGAAAAGGCAGGUAAAAUGACACCCCGAUUAUAACGAACAUCUAUAGAAUAGUUAAAUGAACAAACCACGCGCCGACCAAACUGGGUCAAUGGCAGCGGUGCGGGCCAACACGAAUUGUAGCAUACACUGGCGCCAAUCGCAAAUAACAAAUCACCGCUGUCACCACAAUGCGUUGCCCGAGCGGCGAGAGGGGUAUUUCUUUCAAUGCACUUAUAGACCGCACUUUAAAUUCUAUCUUUCCUUUUUAUUCUUCUAAUAAUUUUUACACUUUAAUGCCCUAACUAUCCUACAGCACAUAAUUUUGUGCCUGACCUAACUUCUACGGUAAUCACUUCUACCGGUUAACCGACGGUCGAGCAAGGUUCUAGUUAGAGAUGUCCUGCGGCACAAGCCACCUCUGAGUCUAGAUGGAAUCUAUAGUUUGCAGCACCUGCGCAACAAAUGCUACACGCUUAUAGUCUUUGGGGUGGAGUCCUUCGUCCAGUUAGUACCGUCCUGCGUUACAAGCCGAUACUACUUCUGGUCGUCUGGUUAAUCUGAUUCCCAACGGAUGCAAAGUGGAAAAACCAACGACGAGAUCCGGUGUUCUGGGUCCAACAGUUGAACCAAGAAGCCCCGAUAAAAUCAAAAACCGACCCUUUCAUACUCCAAUCUAUGUAACUAACAAAAAGCUAUAUUCAUAUAUAAGUCUGGUGGACUAACUACCACCUAUAACUACCUACGUGAAUUCACUGCGAUCGCGUCGCUUAUGUACAUAAUCAAUUAAUUCGAUCGGUGAUACCGUUUUUUUCUGGCUGAUGCAAUAUGUCGAAAUAGCCAGCCGUGGGCAUUGCAAUAACUCUACUGGUCUACUGUCUGUACUAGCUAAGAUAUAGAUUUCUAUGGAAAAAUUAGGGCUGCUGCAUGUGCUUCUAAUUUGGAAGAUUACCAAUUGUCUUAGCGAAAAGACCUUUGACAAAAAGAUGAGAAAUUUCGGCCCUAAACAUCUACUCGAUUUGACUGUCCGAAAACUUCUGAGUAAAAAAAAAACAAUAUGAGAGACUAACCAGAGCAUCUGUAGUAGAUGUAUCUUCAAAAGGACCAUAGCGUCUAGCCAAUAGCAACCAAGUUAAAAACAGGUAGGAGCUUAAGAACAGGAAGAUCAUCAUGUUUUACUAUAAUUUUAUAGUUAACUAUCGUUAACUCGAUCGUUUCGGUAGCCAGGGAAUUGAUCGCAUUGGUAACAGAAAUCUCAACUUGGGCGGAUAGACUGCUAAAGACUGCAUGAGCUCCUCAUAGUUGUCAAAUUUACAAUACGAAUCUUUAAAUCUGAUCAUUUUUUUUCGAACGGAACUUAUCUCCUUGUUUCGUCUUAGCUCUCAUGAAAAGUAGCAAUAAGUCGUUUUUUGAUAAUACUAUCAUAACUUUCUGUUAUGAUUUUCUCUUUUAACUUUCUUUGGAGCUGUCUUGAUUUAUUUUUCUUUCACUUGUUUCGGGUUUGUAUAUUGAUUGUUUUUUUUCUAGAUUCUCAUGCAGUUUAGUGAUUGCGCCUAGAAUCACAAAUAUCUCUUCCGAAUUCAUACUACAAUAUCGUUGAAAUUGAUAUCCGGAAAAGUCGUCAUCAUAUGACCAAAGGUCGCAUCCUCUCCCCCACUACCUGAGCUGGUUCUUCCGGCGUUCUCCUUUCUAAAAAUAGACUCAAAUCUGGGUUUUAAUAUUUUUCCAAUAAUAACAGGAACGCAUAAAGUAACUUAGAUUCUAAUUCCUUAUUAAAUGUGUUGUCUUAAUUUUUUUUUCAUAUUAUCACGAUAUUCCUUGUGCUUUUCUUGUGCCCCUCUUUUAUUCCGGUGGUGUCAGGCUGACUAGCAAUAAUUCUAGUCAGUGACGAUAUCCUGCGCAAAUUUUUUUUCAAUUACUCUUACGAUUUUUUUAAAUCUUUUCGGAUAAUCCGCUGAGAAACAAGCAGGGCUUAAAGCGGAGUACGACUCCCGAUGUGUUCCUGGCGAGCUGGAUUCUUUGUACAAUGGCUGGUGACGUCCUUCUGGGAUUUCUUUCUAAACACUUGAUUAACUGAAACACUUUGCCUGUUGAAUCUAAGAGACAACUUUAUUUUCAAUUUUCUUAAAAUAUAUAUAUACACUGCUGACCCAUCGAACUUCGUCUCGCCCGUUUUUUUUGAAUUUGUAUUUCGGACAGUACAAUUGUCAAACGUCUUAUGCUGUUAAUGUAUCUUUCCAUUAUUUUACUGAUUACUUGGCUGCGGUGAAUUCAUAAAAAAAAUAUUGUGAAUAUGUUGAAAGCUUUUGUUACGCAAACAUUAAGCGAAAGCACCGAUCGCCAUAUCAUCUUUUGAGUCAGUGCAUCGAACAGCGAUUGUAGAUCUCUCUCAAACUAUUGGUUUCGACAUAUGGGAUAAAAAGUGAAGCAAAAAUAACAUUUACAAAAGCUGCCCUCGCGACUUGCAGUUUGUCACUUCUCGCUAGUCUGGUGACAUUAUUUAGUCGUGUUUGAUAAAUGUUCGUAGCGUGUUAAACACAGGAACAAUUUUCGAUUAACAAUUCAGCGAUAAAACUUUUUUUUUACUUUUAAUUUAUGGCUUCUGGUUAGUCAGUAAUUAUUUAGUAAAUUACUGAUAUAUCGGAGACUCGGAUGAUUCGCAUGGCUAAGUUUGACUCCUCUGGUAAAAGUUUAGAUGCGAGAAACCUUCUGCUUACUUAAAUGAACCUUGUUACGUCGAAUUUUUCCGCACUUUAUCUUCAAAUCCGUACUCUUCCUUGAGUACUAUGGCUCUACAUUUUUCAUAUUUUUUUACUCUCACAAUCUUUAGUUAGUUUGAUAUUGUUAAAAAAAGAUAAAAUGAGUAAUUCUUUGACAUUCGAUAGUUGAAGCACAUAUAACAGAUAUUUGCUAUACGUUGGAAACACUACUGCCACCUACUCCACUGUUCGCCGCGGUCUACGUUCCGGAACGAUAACAAAAUCCUUCUGCCUGUUAUAGAAAUAUUCCAACUAUCACAAUUUUAACACUUAUCACACGAUUUCCCUAAGUGUUAAAGACAACUUUAUUUCCAUGUCGCAUAAAUCACACGAGAAUUCGAUCGGAAUAAAACAAAAAUAAACUUAUCAUUUUAACCAACAGCAAAACAAAAAUCUAAGGUGAAGUGAAUGUUGCACCCAAAAUUGUGGCUCAGUGAAAGCGACACCUAAAUCGUGGUAGCACCUCGUAUCGAUUGUGGUGACAUCUGCAAAUGUUCGCCACACUGUUUGAGCAAAUUUUACACACAGCUCAUAUGUGAGCCUGUAUAUCUGUUUUCUGUGGGUCAAGUUACCAUUCUGUUAAAUAUUGUAUCCAUUAACUUUUACAUGAACACUGCAUUCGUUUAAUAGUUGUAUAUCAAUAGUCGUCUCAUUAGUCGACACCACAUAAUUUUGUUUAGUAACCCACCUACGAUUAACGAAUGGUGGAGUUCGGUACUGAGAAUCUAUAUCAGAAAGUUUUACAUGAAAAUAAUGUGCAAUUCUUCUGUUAUAGCGGAGUGAACAUGAGGAGUGAUUGUACCACAUAUACCCAUCUAUUUGGCCGCGCCGUUUCGAACCACAUUGAAUGAUUUAACCAGUUGAAGAUUGUCAUCGAUGAUAGGAGUUGCUUAGUUUAUAAGCGAUUGCUUGUAAUCUUGAUUAUCAGAUAAAAACUGUUUGUUUAUUUAUUUUCCACUAUAAUAAACAGUAACUAUGGUAAACUUGUUCUUACCCUUCAGUGUUGCUAGUGUUAUAGCAAACUCGUUAAAGUACAUUGUCACUCUGACAGUGUACCGCACGAUGCAAAAUGUGUCCUUGAAAAUUUGUCGAAGUAUUCCGCAUUAUAAUUUGUAUUUGUUCAUACUACAAUCAAAUACAAAUUAUAAUACGGAAUGCUUCGACGAAUUUUCAAGGACAUAUUUUGCAUCCUGCGGACACUGUCAUUAUACUCUGUCAGAAUGACAAUGUACUUUAACGAAUUUUCUAUAAAACUAGCAACGCUGAAGGGUAAGAACAAGUUCACCAUAGUUACUGGUUAUUAUAGUGAAAAAUAAAUAAACAAACAGUUUCUAUCCGACAAUCAAGAUUACAAGCGAAAUGUAAGUCAAACAAUAGUCUAGAAUGAUUAAGCCGCUAUGCAAAUUUUAGGUUGAAACGAACAGGUAAAUAUGUUUAACACUCUGCGUUCGCACAUUAGUUAUAGGAGAAGCCGCGUGGUUGAUCAUGAAUCAUUGUAACGGGCGUUUUUUUUUUGUUGUAUACCAUGCGUCUCCAUACAUAUAUAUAAAUAGAUCUCACACCUAGGUAAACGACUUCUACAGUUAGAACUGGAGUAAAAUGAAGAUAUACAAAAACGAGAACGUUUGUGUUCAUUUUUCAUCUUUUGUGCUAGUGCCGGCGAUAUUUAGACUGAUUUUUGCAGUUUAAUACAGCAACGAUAAACAUAAACAAACAAGUUUGUUUUGCACCGUAGCAACUAGCAUAAAGCGUUGCCAGAAACGAUCUCCUUCCACAUUUUCAAACUAUCGCAAUGUAAGGAAGAUAUUGGCUAGGCUUACUUGUUCAUGCUGUGAAACAAACAUUGGCGGUUCGUUUGUAUGAGACUUAGGGGUAUUAUUAUUUGUAUUUGCUACAAUAUCUAUAAAAUUGAUAUCCGGAAAAGUCGUCAUCAUAUGACCAAAGGUCGCAUGAGUGCGUAUAAACAAAUGUCAACGUUGUGAGCGUUGCUUUUUACACUUACCUAUUCAUCUUCGUUAUUGCUCUUCAUCCAGGUUUACUGUUCUAAGUUAUUUGCGGAGACCUGUGCUUCUUAUUUGGAAGAUUACCGAUUGUCUUAGCGAAAAGACCUUUGACAAAAAGAUGAGAAAUUUCGGCCCUAAACAUCUACUCGAUUUGACUGUCCGAAAACUUCUGAGUAAAAAAAACAAUAUGAGAGACUAACCAGAGCAUCUGUAGUAGAUGUAUCUUCAAAAGGACCAUAGCGUCUAGCCAAUAGCAACCAAGUUAAAAACAGGUAGGAGCUUAAGAACAGGAAGAUCAUCAUGUUUUACUAUAAUUUUAUAGUUAACUAUCGUUAACUCGAUCGUUUCGGUAGCCAGGGAAUUGAUCGCAUUGGUAACAGAAAUCUCAACUUGGGCGGAUAGACUGCUAAAGACUGCAUGAGCUCCUCAUAGUUGUCAAAUUUACAAUACGAAUCUUUAAAUCUGAUCAUUUUUUUUCGAACGGAACUUAUCUCCUUGUUUCGUCUUAGCUCUCAUGAAAAGUAGCAAUAAGUCGUUUUUUGAUAAUACUAUCAUAACUUUCUGUUAUGAUUUUCUCUUUUAACUUUCUUUGGAGCUGUCUUGAUUUAUUUUUCUUUCACUUGUUUCGGGUUUGUAUAUUGAUUGUUUUUUUUUCUAGAUUCUCAUGCAGUUUUGUGAUUGCGCCUAGAAUCACAAAUAUCUCUUCCGAAUUCAUACUACAAUAUCGUUGAAAUUGAUAUCCGGAAAAGUCGUCAUCAUAUGACCAAAGGUCGCAUCCUCUCCCCCACUACCUGAGCUGGUUCUUCCGGCGUUCUCCUUUCUAAAAAUAGACUCAAAUCUGGGUUUUAAUAUUUUUCCAAUGAUAACAGGAACCCAUAAAGUAACUUAGAUUCUAAUUCCUUAUUAAAUGUGUUGUCUUAAUUUUUUUUUUCAUAUUAUCACGAUAUUCCUUGUGCUUUUCUUGUGCCCCUCUUUUAUUCCGGUGGUGUCAGGCUGACUAGCAAUAAUUCUAGUCAGUGACGAUAUCCUGCGCAAAUUUUUUUUUAAUUACUCUUACGAUUUUUUGAAAUCUUUUCUGAUAAUCCGCUGAGAAACAAGCAGGGCUUAAAGCGGAGUACGACUUUAUGCUGACUACGGUUCUUCCGCGGACAGUACCUAAGGAAGGAGAAUAGAGUUUUAUUUAAUCGAUUAAUGAUACUUAGCCAAUUCUCUUGCUCGAGAAUUCGAGCUGGUGACGUCCUUCUGGGAUUUCCUUCUAAACACUUGAUUAACUGAAACACUCUGCCUGUUGAAUCAUAUGAAUAAAAUUUAUGAACAUUCACGGACAAAUAUCGGAUAAGACGUUCGUAAUCUUCCAAUCCAUCAACCAAGACUCGACAUUCUCCUCUUCGUCCGAUUUGAAAUGAGACUUUUACUUCCGGGAGAAAGCUCAAUCCGGAAUGCUUUGAAGUCGGAAAUCAUCACCGUCACUGGUAGCAUAGAUUGUUGUUUCUUCCCAGAACGACAAGCGUCCAUUUUGGGUAUUGUUAUAUGUUAUUAGAAAAAUGUUGAAUAACGGAUUGUGAUUUAUUCCGUAUUGAAUUAUUUUUAGUCUUAGGCUUGUUGCCUUUCCGGUUGGACGCAGACAUUUUUGAAAUGAAUGAAAUUUUAAAAUAAAUUAACUAGGCUAAACUAGUCUUCGAUUAGAUUCCUAGUUUGAAAAAGUCUUGAUAAAGACUGAUUUUGUGGUAGUCUUAAUGAAGACUGGUUAAUUUCUUAGUCACUCUAAUAUCACUCUUUGUAUCACUUAGUCACUCAAAUAUCACUCUUUGUAUCACUUAGUCACUCAAAUAUCACUCUUUGUAUAGCCUUGAGAAGGGCUGACUAAUUUUUAGUCUUUGAAAAGACUGUUAGUGAUUCAGGUAGCCUUGAAAAAGACUGAAACCUUGAAUCAAUGAAACUCUAGGUAACCAGAAAAAAUUUCCACGAGCCAAGAGCUAUACGCGUGCGGUGCGAACGACUGUUCAAUACCGACUGAUGCGGCAGAUUGCUGAUUUUGGCUACGAUACUUCCGGGAGUGGCCGUGCAUUUGCACCAUUCCUCGAUUAGUUGUAUCAGGUUAUUUACUGUAUCGACUGUUUCGGGGAUGCCUUGUCUUGUGCUUUUCCGGACAGUCUGUUUUUUAAAAAUUUAAUUGCCACGGCCAUGUGCUCUGGCACAAUUAACUCGUUCAGCAAUCUUGCUGUGUCGAUAAAUGUGUCUAGGCUCUCGGGAGUUCUAGUUUUUCUUGGAGUAAUUUCUCCGAUAAUUUUGUAUUAAUUGAUUUUUUUUAUGUAUGUAAGGAGUUUCUCUAGCUCCUUAUAGGUUUGCAUUUCAUGUUAAAUGACUAAUAAUUUUCUGUUUUCUUUUUAAAGGGACAGUAAUUUUUUCUUUCACAUUUAUACAUUUAGAUUCUCAAUUGGAUUUGAAUCCGGUGAGCAGGCUGGCCUUUUCUCGGACUUUAGCCACUUCAUUGUUUUUAUGAAUACUGGCGUUAUUUUUCUGGAAAAUAAGCUUUGAUUUGCGUUGUGCAUUUUGUUGUUCAUUUUGUGCGAUACAAAUCGAAGUUCCAGCCUGUCGGUUGCACAGGAACGCACCCCCAAACCAUUACAGACCCACCGCUAAAAUUUUUCUUUGACUAAUAUCGUGGUUCCUUACGUAGAUCACAACUCAACGUAGAAUUAGAAGAUUUAUUGACAAUUCGACGAGUAUCUCUCUCUCUCUCUGACACCUAAUUUUUUUAGCUGAGUCUCGGCAAAAAAAUGCCGAAAUUAAAGAAAGUUUGUCGGAAGGCUCGCAUUUGAUACCGAACACUGUAAAAACUAUGCAAAGAGUUUCAAAUGCUGACAGUAUUUCCGGUCCUAUGGGAAUUAUUACAUCUCUCCAAACUAAUGAGCAGUCUCCUUCGCCAAAUUCCUCAGACAUUUAAUGAUGCAUAUACGGUAUUGUUCAAAUAAACUUACUUUGAUCCAUUGAAUUAUUCCAUGCAUUGGGUUAUUUUUUCGCAUAUCCCUCAAAUUUUUGCCUCGAGGACGCUUUGAGCCCCGUGUUGGGUAUUUUUCCCUUAUAAUCACGAGUGCUCUGAUAAAGUCGUUUUUUUUAUAAAGCGAAACAUGUCACUAUAUUUGUUCAAUAUUUCUACUUGCAAGCGGUUCCACGCUUCUUCGAAGAUUAUCCAUUGUUUUACUAGAGAAUUUCAUCCGAAAAUAACCCCGCAAUGCGUAGCGAAAAUGUAACGCGGCGAUAAAUGACAGCUGUCGUGCUGAAUCUCGGCAACAGCAUUCCGAAAUCUCCAUUCAUAAUUUGAUGUCGAGCACGGUAACCAUUUACUUGAAAUUUUCUUUCACUGACCGGUAAACUUGGCGCAGACUCUAUGUCACGGUCGCCACGUAAACAUUUUAAACACUCUUUUUAGGUGGUAAUUCACUAAAAAAUUGCUUUAUUAUCAUCCACUUACAUAGUCUAUCCUCUCCUAGCCUAGCUUAUUAAUUCUAACAGUUAGGAUCUCUGAGUAGAUCCGGAAGAAGGAACCGGGUUUAACCAAUGGGACUCGUUGUGUCGGUGAUAUUCUUCUUUCCGCAGAUAUCCACUUAUAUUCUAUACACUCGUUCGCGGCCUCUGACACAACGCAUGCCACCGUCAUUCCGCACUCACUCACUGCUACACGCUCACCCAAUCAUACUCAAUGUGGAUAUCACAUAAUUCAGGAUACCACAGUGUCGUGUCGGCCGUUGUAUAUUUUGUGGGUAAGAGAGGAAGUAAAGUCGUUUGGGAGUUGAAUAGUUGAAGCUCCUUGAAGAGCAUGAGCGGGUGUGAUACGGAGAGGAGAGGGCGAUAGCAUGUUGGGCUAUUCUCGUGAGUGUCGGUUUGAAUUAGUGUGUGUGUGUAUUGCUGAGUUACUGUCAUUCUAGGUCGUGCUGACCGAUAUCGAUUGUGGUCGAUGGUGGGGCAUGAGGGACGUAUAGAAGAGGGAAGUGACACAGGCUGUUUUGUUUUUGGAUUCUGUUUUUUCGAAGACAUAACAAUUUGAAACUUGAUGCUUCCUUGUUUCAGUAGUCGAAUUUUACGACAACGGUGUUUUUCGCUGGGUCACCGGAAAGUGCGAGUGCUGACAUUUUAGUUGGCUUCAUGUAGGUAAUGUUUUUACUUUAUGUAGGUUUCUAAGUUCACGUGGAAGGGUGCUUUUUUGGGUUUUAUUUAAGUGCGUGUGGUCUAGGGUGUGCGGAAGAUUUAAUCUGAAAGGUUCACAUAACACUAUGCUUCUGUAGUGGAAAAUUAGUUGACCAGCUGAAAGCAGUCUUUUUAGCGCGAAGCACAACCUUAAAUCUUGAACAUAGGCUAGUUACGAGGUCUGUUCAAAAAGUACCCGGAAUUCUCAUUUUUUCUAAAAAAAUAUUUAUUUAUUCGUCUACAUCUAUAUGGUCCCCUUCAAAGUAAUCCCCCCUAGAUAUAAUACACUUAUGCCAGCGUUUUUUCCAGUCUUCGAAACACCCCUGAUAGUCACUUUUUGUAAUGCUCUGUAGCACUCUCAGCGAUUCUGCCUUUAUCUCUUCAAUCGAUGAAAAACGCUGUCCUUUCAUGGGUCUCUUCAACUUUGGGAACAGGAAAAAAUCACACGGAGCGAUAUCUGGUGAAUAAGGAGGUUAAGGCAUGAUUAAAGUCUUGUUUUUAGCCAAAAAAGCGUUUGUUUUUUUGACCAAAUUCAGCAGUUUUGGAACGAAUUUUGCUGCCACUCGUUUCAUGCCCAAAACAUUUGAAAAAAUAUGAUGGCAUGAGCCAACUGAUAUGCCAACUUCAUCAGCAACUUCUCUGAAUCGGCGAUCAUCCAUAAUCAUUUUUUCCACUUUCCCAUAUUUUCAUCGAUUAUUGACGUGCUGGGUCGACCGGAACGUUCGUCGUCUUAAACGUCUUCGCGGCCAUCUUGGAAACGCUUAUACCACUCGUAAACACUUGUUUUUUCAUAGCAAACUCACCGUAGGCUCUCUGUAACAUUUCGCACACUUGGUUACACUUUAUUUAAUUUUUCACGCAAAAUUUAAUACAAAUUCUUUGACUGACUUUCAUUGUUUAAACUAACAAAAAUCGCCGAGCUAAAAAAAAACACGUCUACACCAGCCGCUACAAGACAGAAUGUAAACAAUGAAUACAGCUGAAAAUUUCACCAUACAUUAGGGACAUAUGUACCAACACAAUAAAAAAAAUUUGACCUCCGGACUCUCCAGACGCGCGCAAUUAAAAAAUUCCGGGAACUUUUUGAACAGACCUCGUAUCUCUUCUGUGCGUAAACCUGUGCUUCUAAUUUAGAAGAUUACCGAUUGUCUUAGCGAGAAGAUCUUUGACAAAAAGAUGAGAGAUUUCGCCCCUAAACAUCUAGUCGAUUUGACUUUCCGAAAACUUCCGAGUAAAAAAAUCAAUAUGAGAGACUAACCAAAGCAUCUGUAGCAGAUGUAUCCUCAAAUGGACCAUAGCGUCUAGCCAAUAGCAACCAAGUUAAAAACAGGUAUUAGCUUAAGAACAGGAAGAUCAUUAUGUUUUACUACAAUUUUAUAGUUAACUAUCGUUAACUCGAUCGUUUCGGUAGCCAGGGAAUUGAUCGCAUUGUUAACAGAAAUCUCAACUUGAGCGGAUAGACUGCUAAAGACUGCAUAAGCUCCUCAUAGUUGUCAAAUUUACAAUACGAAUCUUUAAAUCUGUUCAUUCUUUUUCGAACGGAACUUAUCUGCUUGUUUCGUCUUAGCUCUCAUGAAAAGUAGCAAUAAGUCGUUUUUUGAUAAUACUAUCAUAACUUUCUGUUAUGAUUUUCUCUUUUAACUUUCUUUGGAGCUGUCUUGAUUUAUUUUUCUUUCACUUGUUUCGGGUUUGUAUAUUGAUUGUUUUUUUUUUCUAGAUUCUCAUGCAGUUUAGUGAUUGCGCCUAGAAUCACAAAUAUCUCUUCCGAAUUCAUACUACAAUAUCGUUGAAAUUGAUAUCCGGAAAAGUCGUCAUCAUAUGACCAAAGGUCGCAUCCUCUCCCCCACUACCUGAGCUGGUUCUUCCGGCGUUCUCCUUUCUAAAAAUAGACUCAAAUCUGGGUUUUAAUAUUUUUCCAAUAAUAACAGGAACCCAUAAAGUAACUUAGAUUCUAAUUCCUUAUUAAAUGUGUUGUCUUGAUUUUUUUUAAUAUUAUCACGAUAUUCCUUGUGCUUUUCUUGUGUCCCUCUUUUAUUCCGGUGGUGUCAGGCUGACUAGCAAUAAUUCUAGUCAGUGACGAUAUCCUGAGCAAAUUCCUUUUUAAUUACUCUUACGAUUUUUUGAAAUUUUUUCGGAUAAUGCGCUGAGAAACAAGCAGGGCAUAAAGCGAAGUACGACUCCCGAUGUGUUCCUGGCGAGCUGGAUUCUUUGUACAAUGGCUGGUGACGUCCUUCUGGGAUUUCUUUCUAAACACUUGAUUAACUGAAACACUUUGCCUGUUGAAUCUAAGAGACAACUUUAUUUUCAAUUUUCUUAAAAUAUAUAUAUACACUGCUGACCCAUCGAACUUCGUCUCGCCCGUUUUUUUUGAAUUUGUAUUUCGGACAGUACAAUUGUCAAACGUCUUAUGCUGUUAAUGUAUCUUUCCAUUAUUUUACUGAUUACUUGGCUGCGGUGAAUUCAUAAAAAAAAUAUUGUGAAUAUGUUGAAAGCUUUUGUUACGCAAACAUUAAGCGAAAGCACCGAUCGCCAUAUCAUCUUUUGAGUCAGUGCAUCGAACAGCGAUUGUAGAUCUCUCUCAAACUAUUGGUUUCGACAUAUGGGAUAAAAAGUGAAGCAAAAAUAACAUUUACAAAAGCUGCCCUCGCGACUUGCAGUUUGUCACUUCUCGCUAGUCUGGUGACAUUAUUUAGUCGUGUUUGAUAAAUGUUCGUAGCGUGUUAAACACAGGAACAAUUUUCGAUUAACAAUUCAGCGAUAAAACUUUUUUUUUACUUUUAAUUUAUGGCUUCUGGUUAGUCAGUAAUUAUUUAGUAAAUUACUGAUAUAUCGGAGACUCGGAUGAUUCGCAUGGCUAAGUUUGACUCCUCUGGUAAAAGUUUAGAUGCGAGAAACCUUCUGCUUACUUAAAUGAACCUUGUUACGUCGAAUUUUUCCGCACUUUAUCUUCAAAUCCGUACUCUUCCUUGAGUACUAUGGCUCUACAUUUUUCAUAUUUUUUUACUCUCACAAUCUUUAGUUAGUUUGAUAUUGUUAAAAAAAGAUAAAAUGAGUAAUUCUUUGACAUUCGAUAGUUGAAGCACAUAUAACAGAUAUUUGCUAUACGUUGGAAACACUACUGCCACCUACUCCACUGUUCGCCGCGGUCUACGUUCCGGAACGAUAACAAAAUCCUUCUGCCUGUUAUAGAAAUAUUCCAACUAUCACAAUUUUAACACUUAUCACACGAUUUCCCUAAGUGUUAAAGACAACUUUAUUUCCAUGUCGCAUAAAUCACACGAGAAUUCGAUCGGAAUAAAACAAAAAUAAACUUAUCAUUUUAACCAACAGCAAAACAAAAAUCUAAGGUGAAGUGAAUGUUGCACCCAAAAUUGUGGCUCAGUGAAAGCGACACCUAAAUCGUGGUAGCACCUCGUAUCGAUUGUGGUGACAUCUGCAAAUGUUCGCCACACUGUUUGAGCAAAUUUUACACACAGCUCAUAUGUGAGCCUGUAUAUCUGUUUUCUGUGGGUCAAGUUACCAUUCUGUUAAAUAUUGUAUCCAUUAACUUUUACAUGAACACUGCAUUCGUUUAAUAGUUGUAUAUCAAUAGUCGUCUCAUUAGUCGACACCACAUAAUUUUGUUUAGUAACCCACCUACGAUUAACGAAUGGUGGAGUUCGGUACUGAGAAUCUAUAUCAGAAAGUUUUACAUGAAAAUAAUGUGCAAUUCUUCUGUUAUAGCGGAGUGAACAUGAGGAGUGAUUGUACCACAUAUACCCAUCUAUUUGGCCGCGCCGUUUCGAACCACAUUGAAUGAUUUAACCAGUUGAAGAUUGUCAUCGAUGAUAGGAGUUGCUUAGUUUAUAAGCGAUUGCUUGUAAUCUUGAUUAUCAGAUAAAAACUGUUUGUUUAUUUAUUUUCCACUAUAAUAAACAGUAACUAUGGUAAACUUGUUCUUACCCUUCAGUGUUGCUAGUGUUAUAGCAAACUCGUUAAAGUACAUUGUCACUCUGACAGUGUACCGCACGAUGCAAAAUGUGUCCUUGAAAAUUUGUCGAAGUAUUCCGCAUUAUAAUUUGUAUUUGUUCAUACUACAAUCAAAUACAAAUUAUAAUACGGAAUGCUUCGACGAAUUUUCAAGGACAUAUUUUGCAUCCUGCGGACACUGUCAUUAUACUCUGUCAGAAUGACAAUGUACUUUAACGAAUUUUCUAUAAAACUAGCAACGCUGAAGGGUAAGAACAAGUUCACCAUAGUUACUGGUUAUUAUAGUGAAAAAUAAAUAAACAAACAGUUUCUAUCUGACAAUCAAGAUUACAAGCGAAAUGUAAGUCAAACAAUAGUCUAGAAUGAUUAAGCCGCUAUGCAAAUUUUAGGUUGAAACGAACAGGUAAAUAUGUUUAACACUCUGCGUUCGCACAUUAGUUAUAGGAGAAGCCGCGUGGUUGAUCAUGAAUCAUUGUAACGGGCGUUUUUUUUUUUUUGUAUACCAUGCGUCUCCAUACAUAUAUAUAAAUAGAUCUCACACCUAGGUAAACGACUUCUACAGUUAGAACUGGAGUAAAAUGAAGAUAUACAAAAACGAGAACGUUUGUGUUCAUUUUUCAUCUUUUGUGCUAGUGCCGGCGAUAUUUAGACUGAUUUUUGCAGUUUAAUACAGCAACGAUAAACAUAAACAAACAAGUUUGUUUUGCACCGUAGCAACUAGCAUAAAGCGUUGCCAGAAACGAUCUCCUUCCACAUUUUCAAACUAUCGCAAUGUAAGGAAGAUAUUGGCUAGGCUUACUUGUUCAUGCUGUGAAACAAACAUUGGCGGUUCGUUUGUAUGAGACUUAGGGGUAUUAUUAUUUGUAUUUGCUACAAUAUCUAUAAAAUUGAUAUCCGGAAAAGUCGUCAUCAUAUGACCAAAGGUCGCAUGAGUGCGUAUAAACAAAUGUCAACGUUGUGAGCGUUGCUUUUUACACUUACCUAUUCAUCUUCGUUAUUGCUCUUCAUCCAGGUUUACUGUUCUAAGUUAUUUGCGGAGACCUGUGCUUCUUAUUUGGAAGAUUACCGAUUGUCUUAGCGAAAAGACCUUUGACAAAAAGAUGAGAAAUUUCGGCCCUAAACAUCUACUCGAUUUGACUGUCCGAAAACUUCUGAGUAAAAAAAACAAUAUGAGAGACUAACCAGAGCAUCUGUAGUAGAUGUAUCUUCAAAAGGACCAUAGCGUCUAGCCAAUAGCAACCAAGUUAAAAACAGGUAGGAGCUUAAGAACAGGAAGAUCAUCAUGUUUUACUAUAAUUUUAUAGUUAACUAUCGUUAACUCGAUCGUUUCGGUAGCCAGGGAAUUGAUCGCAUUGGUAACAGAAAUCUCAACUUGGGCGGAUAGACUGCUAAAGACUGCAUGAGCUCCUCAUAGUUGUCAAAUUUACAAUACGAAUCUUUAAAUCUGAUCAUUUUUUUUCGAACGGAACUUAUCUCCUUGUUUCGUCUUAGCUCUCAUGAAAAGUAGCAAUAAGUCGUUUUUUGAUAAUACUAUCAUAACUUUCUGUUAUGAUUUUCUCUUUUAACUUUCUUUGGAGCUGUCUUGAUUUAUUUUUCUUUCACUUGUUUCGGGUUUGUAUAUUGAUUGUUUUUUUUUUCUAGAUUCUCAUGCAGUUUAGUGAUUGCGCCUAGAAUCACAAAUAUCUCUUCCGAAUUCAUACUACAAUAUCGUUGAAAUUGAUAUCCGGAAAAGUCGUCAUCAUAUGACCAAAGGUCGCAUGAGUGUUGCUUUUUACCCUUAUCUACUUAUUUAUGUUAUCUCGACUGAAUUGCAAUGCAAUAUUACUGGAAUCGCUUCUAAACUGAUUGGUUGUCUAGUGUACGCACCCGAGCGGCGAGAGGGGUAUGUCUUUUAACGCACGAAAUGUCAUCUAAUUAACGAGACGUAUACGUCCCGAGUCCAGCGGCUACCGCGGUGUAUAAAGCGUAUAGUCUUUCCAGCGGCACACCCACGCUACCAGUUCGAGCAGGAGUUCCAUUCGUGUGCAGCCAGUACCUCCGAUGAGGUAUUGGCCGAAUAACAGAUGAAGGAAGGGCGUGCUAGCGAUAAACGAGGACGCCGCGGUCCCCGGGUAACAGUCGAUCCAUCGACGUAGAUGAGCCAGCUAGUUAAAUACAAAAAAAAAUAUAAUAAUAAUAUUAUUACUAAAAUUUUUCUCAUCUAAAUUACUACUUGCUUUUAGGCACCAGUCAGAAAUGGCGUGGGUUCGUAUCCCACACCUGUCACCACAAAUGUACGCACCCGAGCGGCGAGAGGGGUAUUUCUUUCAACGCAAGAAAUGUCAUCUAAUUAACGGGACGUUUUCUUUUAAUCUGUAAACUUCACUUAUAUUUACUUCUAUUUUUGCAUUUCUUGUCCACUACAUACAAAACUUUCCCUGAGGCACAUAAAUUUUUUGCCUGACCUAACUUCUAUACUAAACUUUGCUUUUUUCCUUAAUUACUGCUUUAGCACGAGUAAUGGUGUCUAAGUUUGAUUACGGUCACCCAUGGAGCAUUACUCUCAACAGUUGAAUUAAGAAGCCUCGAUAAAAUCAAAAACCGCCCUUUUUAUACUCAAAAUAUAAGUACCUAACCAAAAGUUAUAUUUAUAGCUAUAGCUAUAUUCCAGCUUUACAUAUAUCUGGGAUUCACUGCUAACUCUUAACUGCGAAAUGUUCUUUUCCGGCGUAUUUAUGUAUUCUACCGAAAAAACCUGAUAUGAGAGUGUCUGCGUAGUCAAGAUCAAGGUCGGGAACGUGAACGUGCCAUUUUCGGCCGUUUGGAUCACGGACAGGGCCGAUGGUGGAUAGAUAUAUAGCGAUCGAAUUUGGUAUUGACACAUCAGAUGGUAUAAGAGAUUUGAUGUCAAUAUAUUCAGAUGCUGGUAUAUCUUGCUGUUCACUUUUGACAAAAAUGAGACGUUGCCACAACAGGAUUGUGCAGUAGUAGGUCCACAUUGAUGACGAUACUGAUCGAGACCAGUAUCGGUCGUUUGCCAUGAAAUCGCGAUAGGUAGCAUCGACGAUGUCAUAGUAUCCGGUGAAGUUCAGUUGUAGUUCUGGGAUUUUCUUUCGAAACCCCAAAACUGCUAAAUCGAGUACUGAGAAAGCAUCGAUAACGCAAGGAUCAUUCUUCGGUGUUGUGAAUGUUGUUGAAAGGUGUUUCGGAGAGAGGUCGUGACCAUGCGGUCAUUAUUUAAACACGCCGUAAACGAAUAAAAACUAUACUAUAUUCGACGCAUAAUAACAGGGAUAAAAGACUGACUGUCCAGUCUGUAUAACGCCGGAAACACAAGUGGCAUCAGUUACUAUCAUCGCGGGAAAAUGUCAGUGACGAGCCCAGUGUUGCCAUUCGUUGAGUACGAUCAUGUUGCCAGAGGAUUAUUCCAUUUGCCCCAACAGUAUCUUAUUCAAGAGAUACGUUUUUCCUCCCUAACCCUUUAUUCGGAUGGAAAUUUCUUCGCUGCUCUUCUCCACCUGCUCUUGGCCAUUGGCCCAAGAUAAUGUUAACGGUUUCCUUUUUCCGUUUAUUUCAAGUUGUCUGGCAACUUCUUCUUGGAUUAAUGUUGUCGACGAACCUGGAUCUAGAAACGCUAGAACCUCAAUCUGCUUAUCCUUAUUCUUCAAUGGUACUGGAACAAUCUGGUAAAAAAAACUUUCCUUUCUUUUCAUGACAAUUAAUUUUUUCAACUUCCUUUUCGUUUUUAUCAGAACUCGAAUUCGACCUUUCUGAAUUUUGAUGUAGCAGCGUAUGGUGUUUGCGUGCGCAUCCUUUCACGCUGCAUUUUAAUUUCGAAAAACACGUUUUAGUUUGAUGAUUCGCAAAGUUGCAACAGUUGAAACAUGCCUUAUUCUUAACGAGUAUUGUUGGGGAAGCGAAAGCCUAUUCGCGCACCCCUGGUAGCGAUGAAAACGUUCCUGCUAAAAUCAGUAAUACCAACGACUCACCGACUGUACUUCAGUGACAGUUAUUACCUCGUUGAAGUACAGUACGCUAAGACACGAGUAACGUAUUAAAACACACUGUUUCGAAUUGAUAACAAGAAUUCUGCUUUAUUUCGAUAUGUCUUAACUUAUAUACUAGACUUUAUUCUAGAUUCAAGAGUCUUUAAUGUUCUUCUAUAUUCUGCGAAGGAUUCCUGCAGUUGUAUUCUUUUUGUUUCUAUAUUAUUUAGUGAUCUAGGUCUAUAUUGACUUUUUACUAAAUUUUUAUUUUCCUUCUUUAAAUAAGACUGGAUUU